rnacentral:rRNA from 1 species
UACGAAGGGGGCUAGCGUUGCUCGGAAUCACUGGGCGUAAAGCGCACGUAGGCGGAUUGCUAAGUCAGGGGUGAAAUCCUGGAGCUCAACUCCAGAACUGCCUUUGAUACUGAGGAUCUUGAGUUCGGGAGAGGUGAGUGGAACUGCGAGUGUAGAGGUGAAAUUCGUAGAUAUUAGGAAGAACACCGGUGGCGAAGGCGGCCCACUGGAUCGGUACUGACGCUGAGGUGCGAAAGCGUGGGGAGCAAACAGG